CCCUUAGAUGUUCUGGGCCGCACGCGCGCUACACUGAUUCAUGCAACGAGUUUUGUCCUUGGCUGAAAGGCCUGGGUAAUCUUUGAACGUGAAUCGUGCUGGGGAUAGAUGAUUGCAAUUAUUCAUCUUCAACGAGGAAUUCCUAGUAAACGCAAGUCAUCAGCUUGCAUUGAUUACGUCCCUGCCCUUUGUACACACCGCCCGUCGCACCUACCGAUUGAAUGGUCCGGUGAAAUCUCCGGAUCUGAGAGAUGUUGGAUUAAUUUCUGACGCCUUUUGGAAAAGUUGCUUAAACCUUAUCAUUUAGAGGAAGGUGAAGUCGUAACA
rnacentral:rRNA from 1 species